rnacentral:rRNA from 1 species
GGACGAACGCUGGCGGCGUGCCUAACACAUGCAAGUCGAGCGAUGAAGCCCUCGGGUGGAUAGCGGCGGACGGGUGAGUAACACGUGGGUAACCUGCCUCAAAGAGGGGGGAUAGCCUCCCGAAAGGGAGAUUAAUACCGCAUAACGAUUAGUUUUUCGCAUGGAGGACUAAUUAAAGGAGCAAUCCGCUUUGAGAUGGACCCGCGGCGCAUUAGCUAGUUGGUGAGGUAAAGGCUCACCAAGGCGACGAUGCGUAGCCGACCUGAGAGGGUGAUCGGCCACAUUGGAACUGAGACACGGUCCAGACUCCUACGGGAGGCAGCAGUGGGGAAUAUUGCACAAUGGGCGAAAGCCUGAAUGCAGCAACGCCGCGUGAGUGAUGAAGGCCUUCGGGUUGUAAAGCUCUGUCUUUUGGGACGAUAAUGACGGUACCAAAGGAGGAAGCCACGGCUAACUACGUGCCAGCCGCCGC